rnacentral:rRNA from 1 species
UACGGAGGGUGCGAGCGUUGUCCGGAAUCACUGGGCGUAAAGGGCGCGUAGGCGGCCUGUUAAGUCGGGGGUGAAAUCCUGCGGCUUAACCGCAGGGCUGCCUUCUAAACUGUCAGGCUAGAGCACAGUAGAGGCAGGUGGAAUUCCCGGUGUAGCGGUGGAAUGCGUAGAGAUCGGGAAGAACAUCAGUGGCGAAGGCGGCCUGCUGGGCUGUUGCUGACGCUGAGGCGCGACAGCGUGGGGAGCAAACAGG